UACGUAGGGUGCGAGCGUUGUCCGGAAUUAUUGGGCGUAAAGAGCUUGUAGGCGGUUUGUCGCGUCUGCCGUGAAAACCUAGGGCUUAACUCUGGGCGUGCGGUGGGUACGGGCAGGCUAGAGUGUGGUAGGGGAGACUGGAAUUCCUGGUGUAGCGGUGAAAUGCGCAGAUAUCAGGAGGAACACCGAUGGCGAAGGCAGGUCUCUGGGCCAUAACUGACGCUGAGAAGCGAAAGCAUGGUGAGCGAACAGG
rnacentral:rRNA from 1 species